rnacentral:rRNA from 1 species
UACGUAGGGUGCAAGCGUUGUCCGGAAUUAUUGGGCGUAAAGAGCGUGUAGGCGGCUGGGUAGGUCCGUUGUGAAAACUCGAGGCUCAACCUCGAGACGCCGAUGGAAACCCUCCAGCUAGAGUCCGGAAGAGGAGAGUGGAAUUCCUGGUGUAGCGGUGAAAUGCGCAGAUAUCAGGAAGGACACCCGUGGCUAAGGCGGCUCUCUAGUACGGUACUGACGCUGAGACGCGAAAGCGUGGGGAGCGAACAGG